AAACUUGAAACGGUCUCUCUCUCUUUCUCUCUCUAGCUCUCUGAGAUCUUCGCCUAAAAUUCUCAACUCGCAUUCUUGCUGUGAUUCGAUUCAAUGGAAGGUACUCUCCUGAGUGUCCUCUCUCUCUCUCUCUCUCUCUCUCUCUCUCAUCAAUUAUUUCUUGUUUUUUAUUUGAUUUCUUGUUAAAUCGUGGAGCGAGCGGUGUCAAAUGGUGGAAAUAUUCCCCCAAAACUGCAAAGACUUUGUUCCAAAUCACGACUGCAAGCUCUCUUCGACCCUUGAAGCAGAGUCAAAACUUAAAACCCUAGAGCGAUUACAACCCAGUUGGACAGUUACGUGAGCGACGAAGAAUGUACUCCAGAUAUUGCCACCAAACUCGUCAAGUGAGAUUCUGAUUUGAUUGGUGAGAGCAGCACGUGGAACGGAACUCAACAAGGUUCUCCAUGUCAGAUGGUCCUUCCAGUUUUCCAGGAGAUCACUGAUUUGACUACCAAACUUCAGGUAAUUCUUUGUUCUAGCAUUGUAUUUUGUUAACGUCGCUUUGAGGAAAGCUCAGAAAGUGAUUGGAAGCAUUUGUAUGUUCUUUCUGUUUUGAAUCUUUCGACAAAUUCCCUAAACGUUUUUGGUUUUGUUCUCAUGCUUUAGGAUUUGAAGAGAGAGCAUAAUGCCUCGUCUGAUGAAGUCAAGCUCACCACGAAUUUCUUUCCGGACCCUGCAGUUCUAAACACCAUUCAGCUGCUAAGUGAGCCUUUUGUUUUAAUCACUCACAAUUAUUUUCUAACUUUCCUUCUCUCUUUGCUUCAUCGGAAUUGCCCUGGUAUGGUUUCUGAAAACUCACUUUAUAACUGCUGUUUGCUGUGACUGUGCUUAGAAACAUGCAUAGGAGUUAACUGCUAGACAAACAAGAUUAGGAAUGAUUUUAGAGACCUAGCAAUUCAAUGAAAGACUAGGAACCCAUAUCUGCUUGUCUGCUUUGACUGUCCUCUGAGUGAAAUUCGAUUGCUUUGAACUGCUUAAAUUUUCUGCAAAAUGAUACUCUUAGAACUGCUGUGGUUGAUUGAUGUCAAUGAAUGAAUCUGCUGCUGGAUGCAAGAUCCAGUUUUUUCUUUAUUUGCCUUGCACGUCUUAGAUGAAAUAGGGCCGCUUUGUAAUUCUUGAUUGCAAC